GCUGAAAGGUGAGGAACACGGUUGAUAUUCCUCCAGAACAUUUAUAAAAGAGGCUGAAAGGUGAGGAACACGGUUGAUAUUCCUCCAGAACAUUUAUAAAAGAGGCUGAAAGGUGAGGAACACGGUUUAUAUUCCUCCAGAACAUUUAUAAAAGAGGCUGAAAGGUGAGGAACACGGUUGAUAUUCCUCCAGAACAUUUAUAAAAGAGGCUGCAAGGUGAGGAACACGGUUGAUAUUCCUCCAGAACAUUUAUAAAAGAGGCUGAAAGGUGAGGAACACGGUUGAUAUUCCUCCAGAACAUUUAUAAAAGAGGCUGAAAGGUGAGGAACACGGUUGAUAUUCCUCCAGAACAUUUAUAAAAGAGGCUGAAAGGUGAGGAACACGGUUGAUAUUCCUCCAGAACAUUUAUAAAAGAGGCUGAAAGGUGAGGAACACAACCCCCUCCAGUACCAGCUUCUAAACAGACUGAGUCAAACUGAAACAUGAUCAGCUUGGAACUCUUUGUAUUCCUGUCUGGCUGUUUUUAACCCAUCAGUCUAAGCCCUGUCUAAACCGGGGGGUCGUCUACUAAGCUAUAUGGAAUUGU